rnacentral:rRNA from 1 species
CCUACGGGAGGCUGCAGUGGGGAAUAUUGCACAAUGUGGGAAACCCUGAUGCAGCGACGCCGCGUGAGUGAAGAAGCGUUUCGGCGCGUAAAGCUCUGUCAGCGGGGAAGAAACACGGUUCGCGAUAGCCGCGGACGGUACCCGACCAAGAAGCCCCGGCUAACUACGUGCCAGCAGCCGCGGUAAUACGGAGGGGGCAAGCGUUAUCCGGAUUCACUGGGUGUAAAGGGAGCGUAGACGGCGGGACGAGUCUGGCGUGAAAGGCCGGGGCCCAACCCCGGGACUGCUCUGGAAACUGCGUGGCUGGAGUACAGGAGAGGUAAGUGGAAUGCGUAGUGUAGCGGUGAAAUGCGUAGAUAUUAGGAGGAACACCAGUGGCGAAGGCGGCUUACUGGACCGUAACUGACGUUGAGGCUCGAAAGCGUGGGGAACAAACAGGAUUAGAUACCCGGGUAGUC